UAGGGAAUCUUCCACAAUGGACGCAAGUCUGAUGGAGCAACGCCGCGUGAGUGAAGAAGGUUUUCGGAUCGUAAAGCUCUGUUGUUGGUGAAGAAGGAUAGAGGCAGUAACUGGUCUUUAUUUGACGGUAAUCAACCAGAAAGUCACGGCUAACUACGUGCCAGCAGCCGCGGUAAUACGUAGGUGGCAAGCGUUGUCCGGAUUUAUUGGGCGUAAAGCGAGCGCAGGCGGAUUGAUAAGUCUGAUGUGAAAGCCCACGGCUCAACCGUGGAACUGCAUCGGAAACUGUCAUUCUUGAGUGCAGAAGAGGAGAGUGGAAUUCCAUGUGUAGCGGUGGAAUGCGUAGAUAUAUGGAAGAACACCAGUGGCGAAGGCGGCUCUCUGGUCUGCAACUGACGCUGAGGCUCGAAAGCAUGGGUAGCGAACAGG
rnacentral:rRNA from 1 species